rnacentral:rRNA from 1 species
CAGUCGCCGCGGGAAUACGUAGGUGGCAAGCGUUGUCCGGAAUUAUUGGGCGUAAAGGGCUCACAGGCGGUUUCUUAAGUCUGAUGUGAAAGCCCCCGGCUCAACCGGGGAGGGUCACUGGAAACUGGGAAACUUGAGUGCAGAAGAGGAGAGUGGAAUUCCACGUGUAGCGGUGAAAUGCGUAGAGAUGUGGAGGAACACCAGUGGCGAAGGCGACUCUCUGGUCUGUAACUGACGCUGAGGAGCGAAAGCGUGGGGAGCGAACAGGAUUAGAUACCCGCGUAGUCCCUGUCUCUUAUAC